CGCGGCCACACCCCUGUCUACUUCCAUGUCCAAUAGGUGCGAGAGGGCGGGGCAGCCUCGUUCUGACUGGGGAGGCUAUAUAAGGAGCUACUGGUUGCGCGUCUCGGUCUUUUACGUAGGCCUUCGUGAUCGUUUGGUUGUGUGGUAGGUAAGCGUCGGUGUUGCGGGCGAGUAUUGGAGCAAAAGGUGGAGGUGCAGGCCGAGUUAAGAGUUUUGAUAGUGUGAAACCAUCUUAGUGUAGAGCUUAGGGUGCUGAGAGUUGAAAGCUUGCACGUGGGAAAUGUGCAGCCCGACCGCCACAUGUACUGAGAUUGAGUCGUGACGGCCACAGGCUCCGAGUUUUGGCGUGAGGAGAACGCUGAUCGGCCACGGGUGCCGCGCUUGCUGGCCUCUGGCAUGUGCCUGAACGGCGGCAGAAAAGCCACACUUAAUUGGGGCAGAGGGUUAGUUUUAAGAGCAAGGGGCCUUUACUAAAAUGGCGAAGACCUUCCGUCGGCGUUGUUUUAUAACGGGCAGCCUCAACCCUGCAUUGAGACUGAGCUGUUCGAAGGCGGCGUUGUGUGCAAUUCGGAUUAAUGAAGGGGAAAGGUUUUGUGUGGAAAAACACCUUGGAGUGUGACGUUUCUGCGAGAAUGCUUAUCGGUUUCCCGCAGGAACAAUGGCGCUGUCAUGGCCCAGCAGAGCAGCUCUGAAGAUGCAAAGCAUUCUGGGUGUGGACGAUCAGCCAGUGAAGAUAAUGAAUGUCGGAUGUCACUGACUAGCAGCUUCAUUUUGAAUGAGGGUCGCUGUCUGCCCAUUGAUAAGAGGCCAGAUUGUCUUGGAAGUUCCAAAGUUGCAACUAUUUCUGUAAGUGGAGUUUUUCUGUUUGCUUAG
rnacentral:lncRNA from 1 species